rnacentral:tRNA from 1 species
GCUAGAAUAGCUCAGUUGGUAGAGCAGAGGACUGAAAAUCCUCGUGUCGCCAGUUCAAGCCUGGUUUCUGGCA